rnacentral:rRNA from 1 species
GAUGAACGCUGGCGGCGUGCCUAAUACAUGCAAGUCGAGCGAACGGACGAGAAGCUUGCUUCUCUGAUGUUAGCGGCGGACGGGUGAGUAACACGUGGAUAACCUACCUAUAAGACUGGGAUAACUUCGGGAAACCGGAGCUAAUACCGGAUAAUAUUUUGAACCGCAUGGUUCAAUAGUGAAAGACGGUCUUGCUGUCACUUAUAGAUGGAUCCGCGCUGCAUUAGCUAGUUGGUAAGGUAACGGCUUACCAAGGCAACGAUGCAUAGCCGACCUGAGAGGGUGAUCGGCCACACUGGAACUGAGACACGGUCCAGACUCCUACGGGAGGCAGCAGUAGGGAAUCUUCCGCAAUGGGCGAAAGCCUGACGGAGCAACGCCGCGUGAGUGAUGAAGGUCUUCGGAUCGUAAAACUCUGUUAUUAGGGAAGAACAUAUGUGUAAGUAACUAUGCACGUCUUGACGGUACCUAAUCAGAAAGCCACGGCUAACUACGUG